AAUGAUUCAAGAUUCUCACCAAAACGACACAUUAUAAACUACAAAACGACACCCUUUUGACCACUCUUCAAAUAGCAACCACCCAUAUAUAGAAGAAGAAAAAAAAUAAUAAUUAGGGAAUCCAUCAAUCUUCUUAUACAAAAGUCUGCACCCUCAAAUACUAAAACCCCAUUUGUUCAUCAACACAACUAGGUCAAAAAAUUGAGUGAAAAUCUGAAAAAAUUGAAAAAAAAUGGACCAGAAUGUGUUGGAUGAUAUUAUAACUAGGCUUCUUGAAGUAAAAGGUAAACCAGGGAAGCAAGUUGUGUUGACUGAGGCUGAGAUUAAGCAGUUGUGUAUGGUUGCUAAAGAGACUUUCUUGAGACAGCCUAAUU
rnacentral:misc_RNA from 1 species